rnacentral:rRNA from 1 species
CCAAUAGCGUAUAUUAAAGUUGUUGCAGUUAAAAAGCUCGUAGUUGAAUUUCGAGAUCAAAUUGAUGGUCGUGCCUCGGUACGUACUGGUAAUUUUGGUUUCUCCCUUCUGAAGAACCAUGAUGUCAUUAAUUUGGUGUCUUGGGGAAUCAGGACUGUUACUUUGAAAAAAUUAGAGUGUUUAAAGCAGGCUCGCGCUUG